rnacentral:misc_RNA from 1 species
CCCCUAUCAAUAAAAAUUGUAAACUUAUCGUAAUGGUGGCGAUUCUAGUAAACUGCCGACUGAUUGCUUCUAUUUUUAUUUGUAUUUUCUAAUUAAUUAGCAAUAAUCGUAAUAUUUAGUGCUGUGGCUGCGGCCAUAUGAUGCUUUCUUAUGUCGGGUAUAGCUAAAACGCCAGUUUUGGCCGAGGAGGGUGGUAACAAUCAAAGUAGAAAACGUUCUCUUCAGACCAGCGAACAGUGCAAUAAUAAAAGAACAAAAUCCGACGAAAUGAGUGCCAAUGAGAAGAAAUCAAACUUUUCCUUGCUGACUCCUAACUCCAAUGGGACCAUAAAGAUGACGUCGUCAUCGAUGAACAAGCCUGGUGCAGCCACCAAGAAAUUGGUUAUAAAGAAUUUUAAAAGUAAGCCGAACCUUCCAGAAAACUAUCAGGAGACGACAUGGAGCAAGUUGCGGGAGGCGGUGAUCGCCAUACAGACGUCCAAGGCGAUCGCGUACUCGCUGGAGGAGCUGUACCAGGCGGUGGAGAACAUGUGUAGUCAUAAGAUGGCAUCCCAACUGUACGUGAACUUAACAAACCUGGUGGAAGCCCACGUGAAGGCCAACAUUGAGCAGUUCCUCUCCGAGAGCAUGGACCGGCAGGUGUUCCUCAAGCGCAUGGAUGACUGCUGGCGAGCGCACUGCCGCCAGAUGAUCAUGAUACGUAGCAUCUUCCUAUAUCUUGACCGCACCUAUGUACUUCAGAACCCUAGUAUACAUUCUAUAUGGGACAUGGGCCUAGAUUUAUUCCGACACCACAUAGCAAUGAACACAUUAGUCCAAACACGGACAGUGGAUGGCCUGCUAACACUUAUAGAGCGGGAACGUGGAGGUGAUGCUGUAGACAUAUCCCUACUCAAGAGCUUGCUUAGGAUGCUGUCUGAUCUACAGAUUUAUCAAGAUGCUUUUGAACAUAAGUUCCUGCAAGCAACAGAACGCCUAUACGCGGCGGAAGGCCAGAGACUGAUGCGAGAGCUGGCAGUCCCACAAUACCUCGCGCACGUGGAAAAGCGCCUCCGAGAGGAGAACGAGAGGCUGCUACAUUAUCUAGAUCCUUCUACCAAAUGGCAAUUAAUCCACACGAUAGAACGUCAGCUACUGAGCGAGCACCUGUCGGGCAUCCUGGGCAAGGGGCUGGAGGCGCUGAUGGACGGGCCGCGGCUGCAAGACCUCACCACGCUCUACGCACUCUUCAGCAGGGUCAAGGACGGCCUCAGCGAACUGUGUAACCACUUCAAUGCUUAUAUUAAGAAAAAAGGUCGCACGAUAGUAAUAGAACCGGAACGCGACAAGACUAUGGUGGGAGAACUACUAGAGUUCAAGGAACAACUCGACCACGUGGUGAACACGUGCUUCCAGCGCAACGACAAGUUCCUGUACUCCAUGCGCGAGGCCUUCGAGUACUUCAUCAACCAGCGACAGAACAAGCCCGCUGAGCUUAUUGCAAAGUUCGUGGACGUGAAGCUCCGCGCGGGCAACAAGGAGGCGACGGAGGAGGAGUUGGAGCGCUUGCUCGACAAGAUCAUGGUGCUGUUCCGGUUCAUACACGGCAAGGAUGUCUUCGAGGCUUUCUACAAGAAGGACUUAGCGAAAAGGUUGCUAGUCGGCAAGUCAGCGUCGGUGGACGCGGAGAAGUCGAUGCUCAGUAAGCUGAAGCAGGAGUGCGGCGGCGGCUUCACCUGCAAGCUGGAGGGCAUGUUCAAGGACAUGGAGCUGUCCAAAGACAUAAAUAUUACUUAUAAGCAGCACUUAGCAGCGUCAUCAGAGAGUUCCGGCUUAGAGCUUAGCGUGUACAUCCUGACACAAGGCUUCUGGCCGACGUACCCGCCGGUGGACGUCCGCCUGCCGGCCGAGCUGACGCGGCACCAGGAGCACUUCAGCAAGUUCUACCUCGCCAAGCACUCGGGCCGCAAGCUGCAGUGGCAGGCCACGCUCGGACACUGUGUGCUCAGGGCACACUUCACACAGGUACACCAUGUACUGCACACAUCACAAGUUCUACCUCGCCAAGCACUCGGGCCGCAAGCUGCAGUGGCAGGCCACGCUCGGACACUGUGUGCUCAGGGCACACUUCACACAGGGUAACAAAGAGUUGCAGGUGUCGCUGUUUCAAGCACUCUGCUUGCUGCUCUUUAACGACGGAGACAAUCUCUCUUUCGAAGAAAUUAAGGCUGCCACUAAUAUUGAGGAAGGUGAACUCCGCCGGACCCUGCAGUCGC